GAUGAACGCUGGCGGCGUGCCUAAUACAUGCAAGUCGAGCGAACAGACGAGGAGCUUGCUCCUCUGACGUUAGCGGCGGACGGGUGAGUAAAACGUGGAUAACCUACCUAUAAGACUGGGAUAACUUCGGGAAACCGGAGCUAAUACCGGAUAAUAUAUUGAACCGCAUGGUUCAAUAGUGAAGGACGGUUUUGCUGUCACUUAUAGAUGGAUCCGUGCCGCAUUAGCUAGUUGGUAAGGUAACGGCUUACCAAGGCUACGAUGCGUAGGCGACCUGAGAGGAUGAUCGGCCACACUGGAACUGAGACACGCUCCAGACUCCUACGGGAGGCAGCAGUAGGGAAUCUUCCGCAAUGGGCGAAAGCCUGCCGGAGCAACGCCGCGUGAGUGAUGAAGGUCUUCGGAUCGUAAAACUCUGUUAUUAGGGAAGAACAAAUGUGUAAGUAACUAUGCACGUCUUGACGGUACCUAAUCAGAAAGCCACGGCUAACUACGUG
rnacentral:rRNA from 1 species